rnacentral:rRNA from 1 species
AUUGAACGCUGGCGGCGUGCUUUACACAUGCAAGUCGAACGGCAACGCGGGCUUCUUCCUGGCGGCGCGUGGCGAACGGGUGAGUAAUACAUCUGAAUGUGCCCAGUAUUGGGGUAUAGUACGUCCAAAGCCGGAGUGAUACCGCAUACGACGUGAUCGUGAAACCGGGGGGUGUUUGGACAUCUUGGGAUGUGAGCGCCCGAUGGCAGAUUUGAUAGCUGGUGGGGUGAAGGUCUCCCAAGGCGACGAUCUGUAGCUGGCCUGAGAGGACGACCAGCCGCACGGGGACUGAGACACGGACCAGACUCCUAAGGGAGGCAGCAGUCGGGAAUUUUGGGCAAUGGGCGAAAGCAUGAUCCAACAAUGCGACGUCUGUGAUGACGGCCUUCGGGUUGUAAAGAACUUUUGGGGGGAGCGAACAGGUCUGUGCCAAUACCACGGUUCGAUGACGGUACCCGGUGAAUAAGCACCGGCUAACUACGUG